GACGAACGCUGGCGGCGCGCCUAACACAUGCAAGUCGAACGGAAAGGCCUGCUUUCCCUUGUGGAUUGCGGGUACUCGAGUGGCGAACGGGUGAGUAACACGUGAGUGAUCUGCCCCCAACUUGGGUAUAAGCCUGGGAAACUGGGUCUAAUUCCCGAUAGGACUGCAGGGUGGUGCCUGUGGUGGAAAACGAUUUUCUAGUGGCUGGGGAUGAGCUCGCGGCCUAUCAGCUUGUUGGUGGGGUAAUGGCCUACCAAGGCGGCGACGGGUAGCCGGCCUGAGAGGGUGGACGGCCACAUUGGGACUGAGAUACGGCCCAGACUCCUACGGGAGGCAGCAGUGGGGAAUAUUGCACAAUGGGCGGAAGCCUGAUGCAGCGACGCCGCGUGGGGGAUGACGGCCUUCGGGUUGUAAACUCCUUUCGACCGCGAGGAAGCCACCUGGUUGGAAGGGUGGUGACGGUAGUGGUAGAAGAAGCACCGGCUAACUACGUG
rnacentral:rRNA from 1 species